rnacentral:rRNA from 1 species
GGGUUAGUAGGUUGGUCAUGCCUCUGGUAUGUACUGGUCUCACUGAUUCCUCCUUCCUGAUGAACCUUAAUGCCAUUAAUUCGGUGUUGUAGGAAAUCUGGACCGUUACUUUGAAAAAAUUAGAGUGUUUAAAGCAGGCUAACGCCUGAAUACAUUAGCAUGGAAUAAUGAAAUAGGACGUUCGAUCCUAUUUUGUUGGUUUCUAGGAUUGACGUA